rnacentral:rRNA from 1 species
UACGUAGGUGGCGAGCGUUGUCCGGAUUUAUUGGGCGUAAAGCGCGCGCAGGUGGUGCGGUAAGUCUGUCGUGAAAUCUCCCGGCUCAACUGGGAGGGUGCGGUGGAGACUGCCGGACUAGAGGCACUCAGAGGCCGGUGGAAUUCCCGGUGUAGUGUUGAAAUGCGUAGAGAUCGGGAGGAACACCAGUGGCGAAGGCGGCCGGCUGGGGGUGACCUGACGCUGAGGCGCGAAAGCUAGGGGAGCAAACGGG